rnacentral:rRNA from 1 species
UACAGAGGUCUCAAGCGUUGUUCGGAUUCAUUGGGCGUAAAGGGUGCGUAGGUGGCGGGGUAAGUCGGAUGUGAAAUCCCGGGGCUCAACCCCGGAACUGCAUUCGAUACUGCCUUGCUCGAGUACUGGAGAGGAGAUUGGAAUUUACGGUGUAGCGGUGAAAUGCGUAGAUAUCGUAAGGAAGACCAGUGGCGAAGGCGACUACCUGGCCCAUUCUUGACGCUGAGGCGCGAAAGCUAGGGGAGCGAACGGG